rnacentral:rRNA from 1 species
UGCGAAAAGCGUCGGUAAGGUGAUAUGAACCGUUAUAACCGGCGAUGUCCGAAUGGGGAAACCCAGUGCAAUUCGUUGCACUAUCGUUAACUGAAUACAUAGGUUAACGAGGCGAACCGGGGGAACUGAAACAUCUAAGUACCCCGAGGAAAAGAAAUCAACCGAGAUUCCCCCAGUAGCGGCGAGCGAACGGGGAGCAGCCCAGAGUCUGAAUCAGCUUGUGUGUUAGUGGAACGGUCUGGAAAGUCCGACGGUACAGGGUGAUAGUCCCGUACACCAAAAUGCACAGGUUGUGAACUCGAAGAGUAGGGCGGGACACGUGGUAUCCUGUCUGAAUAUGGGGGGACCAUCCUCCAAGGCUAAAUACUCCUGACUGACCGAUAGUGAACCAGUACCGUGAGGGAAAGGCGAAAAGAACCCCGGCGAGGGGAGUGAAAAAGAACCUGAAACCGUGUACGUACAAGCAGUGGGAGCACCUUCGGGUGUGACUGCGUACCUUUUGUAUAAUGGGUCAGCGACUUAUAUUCUGUAGCAAGGUUAACCGUAUAGGGGAGCCGCAGGGAAACCGAGUCUUAACUGGGCGUUAAGUUGCAGGGUAUAGACCCGAAACCCGGUGAUCUAGCCAUGGGCAGGUUGAAGGUUGGGUAACACUAACUGGAGGACCGAACCGACUAAUGUUGAAAAAUUAGCGGAUGACUUGUGGCUGGGGGUGAAAGGCCAAUCAAACCGGGAGAUAGCUGGUUCUCCCCGAAAGCUAUUUAGGUAGCGCCUCGUGAACUCAUCUUCGGGGGUAGAGCACUGUUUCGGCUAGGGGGUCAUCCCGACUUACCAACCCGAUGCAAACUACGAAUACCGAAGAAUGUUAUCACGGGAGACACACGGCGGGUGCUAACGUCCGUCGUGAAGAGGGAAACAACCCAGACCGCCAGCUAAGGUCCCAAAGUCAUGGUUAAGUGGGAAACGAUGUGGGAAGGCACAGACAGCCAGGAUGUUGGCUUAGAAGCAGCCAUCAUUUAAAGAAAGCGUAAUAGCUCACUGGUCGAGUCGGCCUGCGCGGAAGAUGUAACGGGGCUAAACCAUGCACCGAAGCUGCGGCAGCGACACUAUGUGUUGUUGGGUAGGGGAGCGUUCUGUAAGCCUGCGAAGGUGUGCUGUGAGGCAUGCUGGAGGUAUCAGAAGUGCGAAUGCUGACAUAAGUAACGAUAAAGCGGGUGAAAAGCCCGCUCGCCGGAAGACCAAGGGUUCCUGUCCAACGUUAAUCGGGGCAGGGUGAGUCGACCCCUAAGGCGAGGCCGAAAGGCGUAGUCGAUGGGAAACAGGUUAAUAUUCCUGUACUUGGUGUUACUGCGAAGGGGGGACGGAGAAGGCUAUGUUAGCCGGGCGACGGUUGUCCCGGUUUAAGCAUGUAGGCUGGUUAUCCAGGCAAAUCCGGAUAAUCAAGGCUGAGGUGUGAUGACGAGGCACUACGGUGCUGAAGUAACAAAUGCCCUGCUUCCAGGAAAAGCCUCUAAGCAUCAGGUAACAUUAAAUCGUACCCCAAACCGACACAGGUGGUCAGGUAGAGAAUACCAAGGCGCUUGAGAGAACUCGGGUGAAGGAACUAGGCAAAAUGGUGCCGUAACUUCGGGAGAAGGCACGCUGGUGUGUAGGUGAAGUCCCUGCGGAUGGAGCUGAGACCAGUCGAAGAUACCAGCUGGCUGCAACUGUUUAUUAAAAACACAGCACUGUGCAAACACGAAAGUGGACGUAUACGGUGUGACGCCUGCCCGGUGCCGGAAGGUUAAUUGAUGGGGUUAUCCGUAAGGAGAAGCUCUUGAUCGAAGCCCCGGUAAACGGCGGCCGUAACUAUAACGGUCCUAAGGUAGCGAAAUUCCUUGUCGGGUAAGUUCCGACCUGCACGAAUGGCGUAAUGAUGGCCAGGCUGUCUCCACCCGAGACUCAGUGAAAUUGAACUCGCUGUGAAGAUGCAGUGUACCCGCGGCAAGACGGAAAGACCCCGUGAACCUUUACUAUAGCUUGACACUGAACAUUGAGCCUUGAUGUGUAGGAUAGGUGGGAGGCUUUGAAGCGUGGACGCCAGUCUGCGUGGAGCCAACCUUGAAAUACCACCCUUUAAUGUUUGAUGUUCUAACGUUGGCCCCUGACCGGGGUUGCGGACAGUGUCUGGUGGGUAGUUUGACUGGGGCGGUCUCCUCCCAAAGCGUAACGGAGGAGCACGAAGGUUAGCUAAUCCUGGUCGGACAUCAGGAGGUUAGUGCAAUGGCAUAAGCUAGCUUGACUGCGAGCGUGACGGCGCGAGCAGGUGCGAAAGCAGGUCAUAGUGAUCCGGUGGUUCUGAAUGGAAGGGCCAUCGCUCAACGGAUAAAAGGUACUCCGGGGAUAACAGGCUGAUACCGCCCAAGAGUUCAUAUCGACGGCGGUGUUUGGCACCUCGAUGUCGGCUCAUCACAUCCUGGGGCUGAAGUAGGUCCCAAGGGUAUGGCUGUUCGCCAUUUAAAGUGGUACGCGAGCUGGGUUUAGAACGUCGUGAGACAGUUCGGUCCCUAUCUGCCGUGGGCGCUGGAGAAUUGAGGGGGGCUGCUCCUAGUACGAGAGGACCGGAGUGGACGCAUCACUGGUGUUCGGGUUGUCAUGCCAAUGGCACUGCCCGGUAGCUAAAUGCGGAAGAGAUAAGUGCUGAAAGCAUCUAAGCACGAAACUUGCCCCGAGAUGAGUUCUCCCUGAGACUUUAAGUCUCCUGAAGGAACGUUAAAGACGAUGACGUUGAUAGGCCGGGUGUGUAAGCGCAGCGAUGCGUUGAGCUAACCGGUACUAAUGAACCGUGAGGCUUAACCUU